rnacentral:misc_RNA from 1 species
CGGACUUGACAUGCAGGUGGUACCGCGGCGAAAGCCAAGGGACCCGCAAGGGAGCCUGUGCAGGUGCUGCACGGCUGUCGUCAGCUCGUGCCGUGAGGUGUUGGGUUAAGUCCCGCAACGAGCGCAACCCCUGCCGUCAGUUACCAAGUCUGGCGGGACCGCCGGGACUAACCCGGAGGAAGGUGGGGAUGACGUAGACCUUGGACC